ACGCGAGGAACCUUACCUGGGUUUGACAUGCACUAGAUUAGGCGAGAGAUCGUCUGUCCCUUUGUGGCUGGUGUGCAGGUGGUGCAUGGUUGUCGUCAGCUCGUGUCGUGAGAUGUUGGGUUAAGUCCCGCAACGAGCGUAACCCUUGUCUUAUGUUGCCAGCACGUUGUGGUGGGGACUCGUGAGAGACUGCCGGGGUGAACUCGGAGGAAGGUGGGGAUGACGUCAAAUCAUCAUGCCCCUUAUGUCC
rnacentral:rRNA from 1 species